ensembl:lncRNA
GCCAGACCUAGUGCAUUAUGGUACAGUAGGAGCAGCAGGAGGAGCGGCGGGGGCCGGCCGGGAGGAGACGCGGCGCGCGGCCCGGCUCUCGGAAGCCUCCAGAAGCGGCCCUCCGCUCCGUUUGCUCUUCGUCUGUUGCCGCUGCGCAGCAUCUGGCUCCUGUGGCCGGGCUCCAGCUGUGCCCAUCGCCACCACCGCAGCCGGGAGACCCUGCCCGCCGCCCCCGACGCCCGAGCUGCUCCCAGCCGCCUCACGGCCCCACGAGGAUCAGGACCGGACCAGACAGCAGCUGGACGUCCGCGCGGGAGGGGACAAACUACAGUUACUGGUUCAACAGGAGGGAAACAUUUUUGAGAUACCUGAAGAUCCGGACGCCAGCAGAAAUUUUGCACAAAUGAACACACCCAUCAACAAGCCUGCUGUCUGCCUACACAUUCCAUCGCGGAGCCUGGCCUGGUGGGCCCCCGGUCCCCCCACCCUCCUGGCCACUCUGAGAAGCUGCACCGUCCUUGGAGCUGUGGGGGGCAGGUGCCCCCAGAAGGUCGACGUCUUCAAGAACCAGGAGCGUUUCCUCCUCGCCCGUCUUGGUCCUCCAGCUGCACCUGCAGCGCGGGUGCUGUGUGCCCGCAUCCCGGAGCCAGCCCCCAGCGGCAAGGAGGGCGAGACCCUGCUGAGGACAUCCUGGCACUUCUGGGUCCAACUGUCCGUGGAGAGCGAUCAGGAGGGAGCUGAAUAUUCGCCAGGACGGAACUAACGGCAUGACAGGGAUUGAGAGCCUCUUGGCACAAAAUGGACAAACAGUUGUUCAAAGAGCAGUUGUCAUCAAACACCUGGACCGCUCUCCAUCGUGGACCCCUCAGGUGGCCAGAGAGCACGAGGGGACGUGGGGACUGAGACGGUGUGGUGAUGGAGAGACGGACGCCAGUGCUCCCACAGGACCUUCGGGGGGCAGGCAGCACAGCCAGCGGCUCCCCAGCCCUUCAGCUGCGUUUCUCUUCCUCCCUGGACUCGCCACGGCGUCUGUGCUCCCUCCUCCUGCCAUUUAGACCAGCGCCUGCAGGCUGGGGCUUGGGGCCACACUGAGCUGCACUCCCUGAGGACGGCCGGUCUUACCCCUGGCUCUUAGACAACUGGGCUCUGUUGGAUGCCUGUCUCCCCUGCUAAAAUCCAGAAGAACUGGAGACAAUGCCCUCCAUGCAGCUGAGACUUGCCGGCUUCCUUAUCAGCCUCUCAGCCCUGGAGCAGCUAGCCAGGGUCGACACAUCAGCGUAGGUCGAUUGGAGUUGGAUUACAAAUGGUACUCGUCUGAGAGAGGAGGUGGUGGACUCUGUAUCUGAAGGCAUACCCUGCAGACAAGGAUGGGCCCAGAAG